CCUACGGGAGGCAGCAGUAGGGAAUAUUGGGCAAUGGAGGCAACUCUGACCCAGCCACGCCGCGUGGAGGAUGAAGGUGCUAUGCAUCGUAAACUUCUUUUGUCAGGGAGAAAGUGCUUGAUUUAUCGAGUUUUGACGGUACUUGGCGAAUAAGCAUCGGCUAACUACGUGCCAGCAGCCGCGGUAAUACGUAGGAUGCAAGCGUUAUCCGGAAUCACUGGGUUUAAAGGGUCUGUAGGCGGUAUCAUAAGUCAGUGGUGAAAUAUCUGGGCUUAACUUGGAGGGUGCCAUUGAUACUGUAGUACUUGAGAUAGAAUGACGUGGGCGGAAUGUGUCAUGUAGCGGUGAAAUGCUUAGAGAUGACACAGAACACCGAUUGCGAAGGCAGCUCACGAAGCCUUAUCUGACGCUGAGGGACGAAAGCGUGGGGAGCAAACAGGAUUAGAUACCCUGGUAGUCCACGCCCUAAACUAUGUUUACUCGACAUUUGUUUUUAAUAAGUGUCUAAGCGAAAGCGAUAAGUAAACCACCUGGGGAGUACGUUCGCAAGAAUGAAACUCAAAUGAAUUGACGG
rnacentral:rRNA from 1 species